UGGGAUGUAACUCAGUGGUAGAGUGCUUGCCUAGCAUGUGUGAGGCACUGGGUUUGAUUCUCAGCACCACAU
rnacentral:tRNA from 1 species